GGCGGCAUGCUUUACACAUGCAAGUCGAGCGGCAGCGCGGGGGCAACCCUGGCGGCGAGCGGCGAACGGGUGAGGAAUCCAUCGGAACGUACCCCGGAGUGGGGGAUAACGCCGCGAAAGCGGCGCUAAUACCGCAUAUGCUCUGCGGAGGAAAGUGGGGGACCCUGCAAGGGGCCUCACGCUCUGGGCGCGGCCGAUGUCCGAUUAGCUAGUUGGUGAGGUAAUGGCUCACCAAGGCGACGAUCGGUAGCUGGUCUGAGAGGAUGAUCAGCCACACUGGGACUGAGACACGGCCCAGACUCCUACGGGAGGCAGCAGUGGGGAAUUUUGGACAAUGGGGGCAACCCUGAUCCAGCCAUGCCGCGUGCGGGAAGAAGGCCUUCGGGUUGUAAACCGCUUUUAGUCGGGAAGAAAAGGUUGUUCCUAACAGGGGCGACUCUUGACGGUACCGGCGGAAUAAGCACCGGCUAACUACGUGCCAGCAGCCGCGGUAAUACGU
rnacentral:rRNA from 1 species